GUCACGGUUGGUUAUCUGCUCUAUAAAAGUAUACGUUGAUAUCGUAACGAUAUCAUCGGCUACAGAAUGAGGUUCCUGGUGCUACUUUCUGUGCUCUUUGCGCUCAUAUGUGCGGCAAUGGGUAAGUUAGACGAUCGGAAAAAAGCUGACUUCACAGCGAAGUAUGCCGAACUUGCUUCUCCAGUCCCAGCGCAUGUGAACGUGGAAGAAUUGAUUUCUUCACUUCGAGCAGCCAGUAACUUACACUAACAACAAUUAAACAUCAUUCAACUCAUCUUCAAUGACCUUACUAUGA